UCAGCUAGAUGAGAGCCCCAGACUUUGGCUGCUGCAGCCCACAGGAAGAGACCCCAAUCCUCAGCCACUGGCCCGGGCUGGCACCUGCACUGAGCUGUUCCUCUUAGACCAGCCAUUCCUGAAGGAUGUGAAAUGAAGUGAAGUCAGGGGACCUGAACUUACACCCCCCUUGUCUUCUCCCUCCAGCAACAUGGUCCCUCAGUCUGAAGCAAUUGUGCAGAAUACCAGGGCUCCCUAAGAAAGGUAAACUCUGAUAACUUGAGGUUUGCACUGUGUGUAACAAAUUAACUUCUCUCCUAGGCAUCUAGAAAGGUCACAUGUGAUUCUUGGGUGCACUGAGAAAGUCAUCGCUCAAAUCGUUUUCUGCAUGCCUGGUUCAGACAGGAAGCUAAGAAGCCUCCUGUCCUGGGAAAAGAAAUGUUGCCACAUGUGAGCCCUGGGAUGGUGCUGACAGCAGAGGAGGGAAGGCAAACUGGGGGUGGGUUGGAGUGCAGGGGAGUUGCCACCACCUCCAGGGUGCACAGUGUCCAAAGUGACCAACCUCCCAUAAAGUGGCUGCCAGUCACCUCAAGAGAUGGCCCCCGAUGGCCACUCAGCAUGGGUCUCUGCUGCCUGAGGUGGGGCAGAACCAGCCCCUGCCACCACAGAGCCUCCGUUCAUAAGCCCCUGUGUAAAAGCUGCAGUGGCCAAGGACAUAUGCUGGCUGGUAGCUCCAGAUUGGACAAGUCAAUCUUCCCUGGGCUGUCCUAUCUCUCCUGUGGCAAUGACCAGCCAGGUGUCUGGCUGCUGCCUGGAAGUCCACGCUUCCCCAUCCUUCGGGCCAGUUUUUGUGAGCCACCACGUCCUUCCUCCCUGGGAGCUCCUGGGGGCUGCAGUGUGGGGCAGGGUCCACAUUUGGUUGUAUGUGCAUCUGUGAGCCAGGCCUCAAGUUUUUCCUCCUCUCUCAGGCAACCCCACCCUUGAAGUGAUAGGUGACUGACGAACAGGUGUCAGCACCACAGAGGUGGGUGAUGGGGAAGUCUGGACCACCUCCUUCUGAACCUGUGCCUGCUCAGGUCCAGACCUGAGUCUAGCACACAGUGGACCACCACUGUGUCAGCCGCCCAGCCAUGUUGGGACUCAGUGAUCUGACCACAAUCAGCUCCAGCCGCCAGAUUGUGCUACGUCCCAGGCUCUGCAGGGACGUUCCAGGAUCUGCUUCUAGAACAGUGUGUCCCUCCUGUGGGACUCCACACAUGUGCACUGCUACUGCUUUCCAGGACUGGCCACUGGAGGCAGGGCAACUUGACCACUGCCAGAGCCUUCUGCAGAGACUUCUCUUGCCCUGGACUCCCUGAAAACUUGCAGCCUUCGGGUCCUCUGAUGAGUGGGUCAGAGCAGUGCUCCCAAGGGUCCAUGAACACGACAUCAUUGGCAGCUUGGACUAGCAUGGCAAUUGUGGCACAUCAAGACCCCGAUGUUCCAGGCGGCGCCUGUGGCUCAGUGGGUAGGGCAUCGGCCCCAUAUACCAGGAGUGGUGGGUUCAAACCCGGCCCCAGCCAAACUGCAACAAAAAAAUACAGGCAAUGUGGCGGAUGCCUGUAGUCCCAGCUACUUGGGAGGCUGAGGCAAGAGAAUCGCCUAAGCCCACGAGUUGGAAGUUGCUGUGAGCUGUGACGGCACAGCACUCUACUGAGGGCGAUGGAGUGAAACUCUGUCUCAAAAAAAAAAAAAAGAAGACUCCUGUUCCUUCAGUGGAACAUUAAGAAUUUUCCCUCUCUGAUUAAA